rnacentral:rRNA from 1 species
UACAGAGGUCUCAAGCGUUGUUCGGAUUCAUUGGGCGUAAAGGGUGUGUAGGUGGCGCCGUAAGUCGGGUGUGAAAUUUCGGAGCUUAACUCCGAAACUGCAUUCGAUACUGCGGUGCUUGAGGACUGGAGAGGAGACUGGAAUUUACGGUGUAGCGGUGAAAUGCGUAGAUAUCGUAAGGAAGACCAGUGGCGAAGGCGGGUCUCUGGAACG